GUGGAUAGAGGAAUAAAUAAUAGACUUUUUUUUCAUAUUUUGUUCACAGCUCGGGCAGUACGGUGGUGUAGUGGUUAACACUAUCACCUCACAGCAAGAAGGUUCUGGGUUCGAGCCCAGCGGCUGACAAGGGCCUUUCUGUGUGGAGUUUGCAUGCUGUUCUUGUGUCUGCAUGGGUUUCCUCUGGGUGCUCCAGUUUCCCCCACAGUCCAAAGACAUGCAGGUGACACUGGGCAUACCUAACAACCCCCCCCCCCAUGAUGCCCUACUUCUGGCUGGAGUCUCAUCACCUCACUCUUGUGGAGGACGACCCCAUAUGGACAGUUGAAAGUUGCACUUGGAAGACGCUCUGGACACUUACAGUAAUACAUUUACGUCAGAGGACUACAGUUGACUUGCUAACUUUAGGACUGCAGUUGUCAUGAACAGUUUUGCACUCAAGUUUCCAUCAAUGAACAGUUUAUAACUUCAACAAAACAGACUUCAUGUUAAAACUAUAGUGAUUUUCCUGUUUUCGCAGUUAUACUUUGUGACUCGAUAGGACACAGUUAUAGAAGUGAGUUAUUUAUAAUCACGGUAUCACCCAGAUGAGGAUGGGUUCCCUUUUGAGUCUGGUUCCUCUUGAGGUUUCUUCCUCGUGUCAUCUGAGGGGGGUUUUCCCUGCCACCAUCGCCACAGGCUUGCUCAUUGGGGAUAAAUUAGGGAUAAAAUUAGCUGAUGUUUAAAGCCUUUAAUUUUCUGUAAACCUGCUUUGCGACAAUGUUAAAAGUGCGAUACAAAUAAACUUGAUUUGACAA